rnacentral:rRNA from 1 species
GAACUUAAGCAUAUCAAUAAGCGGAGGAAAAGAAACUAACAAGGAUUCCCCUAGUAACGGCGAGUGAAGCGGGAACAGCUCAAAUUUGGAAUCUCAGCGCAAGCUGCGAAUUGUAGUUUAGAGAAACGUUUUCGGGGCCGGCAGCCAGUACAAGUUCUUUGGAACAAGGCAUCACAGAGGGUGAAAAUCCCGUCUUUGACUGGCUGCUUGGUUCCAUGUGAUACGUUUUCCAAGAGUCGGUUUGUUUGGGAAUGCAGACCAAAAUGGGUGGUAAAUACCAUCUAAAGCUAAAUAUUGGCGAGAGACCGAUAGCGAACAAGUACCGUGAGGGAAAGAUGAAAAGAACUUUGAAAAGAGAGUUAAACAGUGCGUGAAAUUGUCAAAAGGGAAACGUUUAAAACCAGUAUUGCGGGCAGAAACUCAGGUUCCAUUUAUGGUGCUGUAUUUUUCUGUCGGCGAGUCAACAUCAGUUUUGCUUGGAGUAAAACGCCAGGGGAAGGUAGCCUUCGGGUGUUAUAGCCUCUGGUAAUGCUCUGGGCGGGACUGAGGACUGCAGCGUUCUUUGGGUUUACCACACCAACGCUUAGGAUGUUGACGAAAUGGUUUUAAGCGACCCGUCUUGAAACACGGACCAAGGAGUCUAACAUAUAUGCGAGUAUUUGGGUGGCAAACCCUUAUGCGUAAUGAAAGUGAAAAGGUGGGAUCCUUUGCUGGUGCACCAUCGACCGCGCCAGAUUAUUGCUAUCUCGGCGUGAGUAUGAGCAUACAUGUUGGGACCCGAAA